GUGCCUUGGCGUCUCAGAGAGUUUGAUUCUGGCUCAGGAUGAACGCUAGCUACAGGCUUAACACAUGCAAGUCGAGGGGCAGCAUUGGAGUAGCAAUACUUCAGAUGGCGACCGGCGCACGGGUGAGUAACACGUAUCCAACCUGCCGCUUACUCGGGGAUAGCCUUUCGAAAGAAAGAUUAAUACCCGAUGGUAUAAAGAGUUCGCAUGUUCUCUUUAUUAAAGAAUUUCGGUAAGCGAUGGGCAUGCGUUCCAUUAGCUGGUUGGCGGGUAACGGCCCACCAAGGCAACGAUGGAUAGGGGAACUGAGAGGUUUAUCCCCCACACUGGUACUGAGACACGGACCAGACUCCUACGGGAGGCAGCAGUGAGGAAUAUUGGUCAAUGGACGCAAGUCUGAACCAAGCCACGUCGCGUGAAGGAAGACGGCCCUACGGGUUGUAAACUUCUUUUGUAAGGGAAUAAAGUGGGCCACGUGUGGCUUUUUGCAUGUACCUUACGAAUAAGGAUCGGCUAACUCCGUGCCAGCCGCCGC
rnacentral:rRNA from 1 species